GACGUAGGGUGCGAGCGUUGUCCGGAUUUAUUGGGCGUAAAGAGCUCGUAGGCGGUUCGUUGCGUCAGCUGUGAAAAACCCGCAGCUUAACUGUGGGCUUGCAGCUGAUACGGGCGGACUAGAGUUCGGUAGGGGAGACUGGAAUUCCUGGUGUAGCGGUGAAAUGCGCAGAUAUCAGGAGGAACACCGGUGGCGAAGGCGGGGUCUCUGGGGCCGAUACUGACGUGAGGAAGCGAAAAGCGUGGGGGAGCGAAACAGG
rnacentral:rRNA from 1 species